rnacentral:rRNA from 1 species
CCUACGGGAGGCAGCAGUGAGGAAUAUUGGUCAAUGGGCUUACGCCUGAACCAGCCAAGUCGCGUGAGGGAAGACUGCCCUAUGGGUUGUAAACCUCUUUUGUCAGGGAGCAACGCCGGCUACGUGUAGCCGGACUGAGAGUACCUGAAGAAAAAGCAUCGGCUAACUCCGUGCCAGCAGCCGCGGUAAUACGGAGGAUGCGAGCGUUAUCCGGAUUUAUUGGGUUUAAAGGGUGCGUAGGCGGAAUGCCAAGUCAGCGGUAAAAUCGCGGGGCUCAACCUCGCUCCGCCGUUGAAACUGGCGGUCUUGAGUGGGCGAGAAGUAUGCGGAAUGUGUGGUGUAGCGGUGAAAUGCAUAGAUAUCACGCAGAACUCCGAUUGCGAAGGCAGCAUACCGGCGCCCAACUGACGCUGAAGCACGAAAGCGUGGGUAUCGAACAGGAUUAGAUACCCCUGUAGUC